AUACGAGGGGUGCAAGCGUUGUUCGGAAUUACUGGGCGUAAAGGGAGCGUAGGCGGAGAUUCAAGCGGAUUGUACAAUCCCGGGGCCCAACCCCGGCUCUGCAGUCCGAACUGGAUCUCUUGGAUAGUUCAGGGGCAGGCGGAAUUCCUGGUGUAGCGGGGGAAUGCGUAGAGAUCAGGAAGAACACCGAUGGCGAAGGCAGCCUGCUGGGGACUUAUCGACGCUGAGGCUCGAAAGUGCGGGUAGCAAACAGGAUUAGAUACCCUGGUAGUCCGCACCGUAAACGAUGCAUACUGGGUGUCCGGGGGUUCCCCCGGGUACCGUAGCCAACGCGUUAAGUAUGCCGCCUGGGGAGUACGUACGCAAGUAUGAAACUCAAAUGAAUCGACGGGG
rnacentral:rRNA from 1 species